UCCUGCAAACUCAAAAUAACAAAGUUCUGUUAGUUUCUUCAAUCAUUUUCAAUUAAUUAGUAAUAAUUACUCGUCUUUUAAUGAAUCCUGAACCACAACAGACCGACCAUAUAUACUAUGAUCCUCUACAAACUAUAUACCUGUUGCAGUCUUCUGAUAUAGUGUUUCCUCAAAGAGGAUAACACCACUGAGGUAUUGAAGAGCACCAGGAGUGGUGAAAAGAAGCUCACGUAGAGCCCUCCUGUUUGUCUCAACAUUCUCGACAUUGAUGCUAGCUAGACGCUUGCCAAUUGUGCCAGUCGACUCAUCAGCAGCAAGGAUACCCUUUCCAGGGGUCCCAAUGUAUGCAGCAUUGGCAAUGAGCUCAUCUAUGAAAAGGAAUAAAUUACUAAGAUACAGGAGAAAUAUGCACAAACAAUCAAAGAAACACAAUACCAUUUCUAGUAUAACUCCUAAUAUAACUAGAUCUAACAUAUAUAUACAGAAUAAAAUCCACAAUUUCCUCAAAUUAAAAGUUGACCUUGUCAAUGUAACACAAAUUAUCUUGAACAAUUUCACCAAUCUCAUGAUGCCAUACCCAGAAAUAGUAAGAAACAUUUUUUUUUUUUUAAGUUACAGUUAUCUAAAUCAUAUUGUUCAACAAUUAAUAUAUAAAAAAAAAAAAAAAAAAACCCAUAUUUUUAGAGCAACUGAAAAUUUGAUCGUAAGGAUUAUUUCAUUAGUAAAAAAUUAAUGGAGGCUACAAAAGAUCCAGGCCCCAAGGCACACCUAGGAAAACUUGUACCCUCAAAAUGUCCAUAUAACUAAUGCUUAAGCUGCAGUAAAAUCCAAUUCAACAGUAAAAAUCAAUGAAAAAUAUCAUGCCAAAAACUGUUCUUGAGCAGAUCAGAUAAAAUAAAAUAAAAUCUCAGGCCAACGCACUCAAAUUCAAACUUUAGACAAAUUGAAAGAAAUGGUGUUCCAAAAAUUCACAAAUAAAACCAAAAAAGUUGCAGAUCUGAAAAAUAACAAACAAAAGGAAACAACUAGGUUACCCGGAUCUAAUGAAAAAUACAAUCAUUUCAAGGCAGAAAAUAGAUAAAUAAAUAAAAUCAAACUACACUAGUAUAGGAAAAUUCAAGACAAUAAAUAGGCGAAAAACAAUUUACCGGCGUACUUUCCCUUAUAGCAAGACAUGGUUACAGAGGAAGAAAUUGAAGAAACAAAUAGUGUUUAUCGAGAGAGAAAUAUAGAGGCCGAAGCAGAGUUUGGUGGAGUGAGUGAUGAUUGCUGUUAGGGUUUUAAUUAUAGUGCGUGGGGCUACAAAGUUACCAUCGAUAUUAUCGCUAAAUCAAAUCUGGACCCUCCUAAAGGAAAAACUCGUUCUGUGAUUUGACUAUUUUGUCCUUAUAAAAUCCAUUCUCUUGCAUUAAACGCCCUCAACCUUUGAUGAAUAGCACUUUGAUCCCUAACCUUCAUACUGGGGCUUUUUAUGUCCCCUUUUUGGUAAUAUUUUGGUGAGUUUAAACUACACGUGAAUUUAUUUUGUUCUUUUUUUUUUUUUAACCAUUUCUCAUGUUUUAGUUAAAUUUUUUGUUCAUAUAAUGAUCACGGUAAAAAUAUUUUUUUAAUAAAAUUUCAAAUUAUAAUCAAAAGAUAGGAUAAAAGUGGUAAAAUAUAUUUUAAUAAUUGUUAUGCAUUUCACAUUAUUUGUUGUUGAGGAAAAUAUCUAUGGUGAGGGAGAAAACAAAUUUGAUAAAAUACAUGUAUGUAAUGACAUCAUUUUUCAAAAUGUUCAUGCUGAAAAAAUGGAUUUUUGUCUUAUCAGAGUUCUCAUCCAAUUAAUUACUUAUUAAAUGGUAUGAACUUUUGAUAUAUCAUCCGUGAAUUUGGCAAGCAACUACCCAAUCAAGAAUAAUAUUUGCCGUGAAAUUGGGAUCUGACGCAUGACAUCUUUAUUCUUGAUCAAGAAUAAAGAUGUCAUGCAUCAGAUCCCAAUUUCACGGCAAAUAUUUUUCGAUGGCUCCAAUAUGAAAGGUGGCACUAGAGUAAAUCUAUUUUUUUUCCCUCUCUCGGUGAAUGUUGGUCCAUCCAUUAAGGACGAGAGCUGCCAAAACAAAUAGGUGGCUACGUAAAUAUCCAUUUUAGAAUUGUUAACCAAACUAUCAAAUGCUUCAAAGAUGAGGGACCUAUGUUGCUAUUUUGUUCAUCAUCCGCAAUAUUAAGGUUAUACAUGUAAUUAAUGUUAAGCUAAGGGGUAUAUUCCUUGGAUUCCACGAAAACCACAUAUUGACAUUUGGUGGGUGGGAAGUGUCAGUCAAAACAAGGGAAAAAAAUGGCCCACAGCACAAGGCGGUUGUAUAGGGUGGAGCAACCUUUUUGCUGGAGAAAGUGGAAAAAUGAAAACCAACUGCGACACCUAAAACGGCGGCGGGUUCCGUAGGUGGUAUUGGCCUGCUGUAUUAGUUCCUUCUCCUGCACGUAUUAGUAGCGUGGUUUCGCUUCGAAUAAUGCUAUUUGUUGAUAACCAUUCGCAAUACAGGUUUAUUAAGCUUCCGUUUGGUUUGUUAAAAAUCAUAUAAUAAAGUUGAUAAGAAAUAUGAUUGAAAAAUUAAUAAAAAUUAUAAAAUCUAUAAAUUAUGAAGUUAAAAUUAAUUAUUAUUUUCAAAUAAUGUGUUUUGCAUGAAAAUUUUGAGCAACAAGAACUAGACCACACGGGACCUAAUACAUGACCAAGGGACGGCACAAUAUAAGUCCCUAUUUGGCAAUUAUUAUUUAGAUAAAAUGAAAUUUUGAAUAGUGAUUUUUUGGAAAAUGUAUGAUUAAAAAAUAAGAAAAUUUUUUGAAUUUAAGUGUAAAAUAUUUAAUUUUGUGAAUGUGUUGUUGAAAAUGAAUAUGUAAAAUAAAUUGAAAUAAUGAUUAUCAAACUGGAAAAUGAAUAAACAUAAAAGUCAAUUUUUAUGCACUAUAAUGGUUGUUACUCGUUAUCUUCCACACCCUUCAUUGUUACUCAACUUUUAUUUUAUAUAUACAAAAUUUAUAUCAUAGGUUCAAUAGUUAAUAGAAUAAUAUUCUAGUCCCCAUUUGAAUCUCAUUCUUUGGCCACAAAAAUAAAAAAUAUGACCAUUAUUCAUUACAUCAAUUCACCAUAUUUAACUUUCUAUUUCUUGUAUGAGUCACGUAACAAUUAUAUUUUUCAUUCUCAUUUUUAAAUCUAUGUGAAUCAAACGGGCUCUAAUGUAUUUCCUAUCUAUGUAAGCAAGAACUAGAUGCUAUUAGUAUGCCUAAAACCUUCUCAAAAAAUAGAAGGUCGUUUAAUUAACAAAACCUACAUCCAUCGGGAAUUAGAAAAGUACAUAUACUGCAGUGAAAGAAGCAUCACAACCCCUCUUGUGGUAACAAUACAUUAAGGUCCCGUUUGGUACCCAUUUUUUUUCAAAAUGUAUUUUUCUCUCUCUUCUUUUCAACUACACAUUCUUUAUUAAAAUAAUAUUACACGUAAAUCAGAAACAUUUUCUUAUUUUUCAACCACAUGUUCCCAUCAAUUUACUAUUCAAAAAUGCAUUUUUACAUAAAAAUAUCUCUCAGACACCCUAUAAUACUUGUGCCAUUUAUUCAAAAUAAAGAACAUGAAUCCAGUUAGUGGUUGUAAUCAGGUGUGAGAAGAAUCUAACUUGUGAAAUUGGAAUUGUCACCAAAUUGCAAGUCACGGGUUACUGCAGAAUUAAUCUCCAUAUAUAUGAAAGGUGACUAAAUUGCUUCUCAAAUAACUGAAAGAAGAAUUAACUUGUAAUAUCAAAUUUACAAGAAAGAUCCGAUUGAGAAAGGAAUUUAUAAUUGGACUUAAGCAAUUUUGUCAUUUAUAUAGAAGCAGGAAGAUUACAAGGAGAUUCAUUAAACUACAAAGUGAAAUGAUCAAUCCUAUAAUGAGAUUUCGUCAUCUGUUAUGUAACAAAGAAGAAUGUUUCUAUUUUCUCUAUCAGUUAAACAAGUUGAAAUAAAAUAUAAAGCAUGGAUGAUUGUACACUAAUUAACCUGCUUGGCUAAGGCACCCAAAUUAUAUCAUCAAGAGGACAUGUUCACAUUUUUUUUUGCUAAUUAUUUGAAGAUCUGUAUGUUUUUGCCGUUAGUUUAUCUUUUUAAAACAUGUAUACCCAUUAAGUGCAUAAAUAAUCAUUCUCAAAGUGUUUGCAAUAUAAAUUCAUUUAUUUAAUAUACUCAAACACACAGAAAGAGUCAAAGUCUCACAGCGGCUCAUUACUACACUUCAAACUAUAGAAAAGCAGGUAGAGAAUUGAAAAACCAGCUUAAAAACAGCAUAUUGCCGAUUACCACCACCCUGGUGAGCUCCACGGGCUGCUUCAGAAUUGGCCUUGCACCUUGCGAGGAAUGCAGCCUGAGCCUUCCCAAUGUUUUCGUCCUUUCCAGCCCAAGCCUUGAGGGUGCUCUGCUGCAGAACACACCCAAAAGAGAAAGAAAGGGACCAUGGCUUCUUGGUCUUCAGUUUGCUCAUCACGUCAAGAAUAAGUGUAGCCUCCUCUUCGCUCUGCCCACCAGUCAAAAACACCACAGAAGGAACUGCAACAGGCAUUGUGCGUUGCAGGGCACGUACUGUGUACUAAGCAACGAUCUCUGGUGCAACCUUGGCAGCAUCAGAUCCUGGGUCACCAUAUUAAGGCUCAACAAAGUUCCCUCAAGGAGGACGUGAUGGUCGCUGAGUGCCUUGUAGCAAGCAGUAAGAACACGUUCAGUCACCUCAGCACACUUGUUGAUGUCAUGGGAACCAUCAACAAGGAUCUCGGGCUCAACAAUAGGUACAAGACCGUUCUCCUGGCAGAUGAUGGCAUAACGGGCUAGGCCAUUGGCAUUUUCAUUGAUUGCAAGCUGUGAUGGCUCAUUAGGACCAAUCUUGAGAACAGCCCUCCAUUUAGUGAACCUAGCACCAUCUGCAUAGUACUGCUGGCAGCGUUUAGCAAGGCCAUCGAGACCUUGAGUAGUGGUCUCACCAUUGGUGCCGGCUAGCACCACUGUCCCACUGUCGAUCUUAAUCCCUGGGAGGACUCCAAACUCCUCCAUGACAUCAACAAAGGGCCUUCCUGCACUCAAAAUAACAAAGUUCUAUUAGCUUCUUCAAUCAUUUUCAAUUAAUUAGUUAUAAUUACUCGUCUUUCAAUGAAUCCUGAACCAUAAUAGAACUGAGUACAUAACCUGCUGCAGUCUUCUGAUAUAGUGUUUCCUCAAAGAGGAUAACACCACUGAGGUAUUGAAGAGCACCAGGAGUGGUCAAAAGAAGCUCACGUAGAGCCCUCCUGUUUGUCUCAACAUUCUCAACAUUGAUGCUAGCUAGAUACUUGCCAAUUGUGCCAGUCGACUCAUCAGCAGCAAGGAUACCCUUUCCGGGGGUCCUAAUGUAUGCAGCAUUGGCAAUGAGCUCAUCUAUGAAAAGGAAUAAAUUACUAAGAUACAGGCAGGGCGGCCCACAAAUUUUAGGUGCCCUGUGCGACAUUUCAAAAUGGUGCCUCUUUCGUGUAAUAAAAAAUAUAUUAUAAAAAAAUAAUUCAAUAACAUCAUUUCAACCAAAAAUAUGACAUUUAAAAAUUUGUUUAUUUUUUUUACAUAUUGUUAAUAAAAUAAUAAAACUAAAGCUCAAAAGCAUUCUCCGAACUUCAUCAAAAUUUAUGUCAUCAAUAGAGAAUCAUCCAAACUACUAACCUCUUGGUACAAUUUCAUAUGAGCAAACUUUGAAAUCAAAAAUAGCCAAGUACCACAUAUAAAUCUUGAAAUACAACAAAUCAUGUAAAAAUAUUUGUUCUCGCAUUUUUGCAUUUUUAGAAAUGAACUCACUAAUUAAACUUUCUAAUCAAUAUGUUUUAGCAAAUCCAUUUUAAUAAAUAUCAAAACUAACGCAUUCAAUCAUAGUUAUAAAAUGGUUGACACAAAUUAGAUUUUAAUAGCUUUAGUUUCGAAUAACAUUUUUUGACAAAUGCAACAAUAACAAUAAUUAUCAAUAGUAUUAUAUGAGCAAUAAAUAUAUUAAAAAAGCAAUCUAAUCUUCUCAAAUAAGUCAAUAUAUCAAAAGCUAUUUUUGUUUCUUUUGGUAAAAAAAAUUCACAAAAAUUGAAUUUAAUCAACUAUCAGUUAUUACCCAACAAAAACUAACCAUUCUAGAACCAAAAUAAUAAUAAUUAUUAUCAUCAUCAUGAAAUAGCAAUUCACAAGUGGACUCGUUCUUGUGACAUGAUUGAUCGCAAAUAAGAUUUUAAUAGCUUUAAUUUUGAAAAAUAAUUUUUGACAAAUGCAACAACAAUAAUAAUUGUCAAUAGUAUUCUAUAAGCAAUAAAAAUAUUCGAAAAGCAAUCCAAUCUUCUUAAAUAAGUCAAUAAAUCAAAAGUUAUUUUGUUUCUUUUAGUAAAAAAAUUUGUAAAAAUUGAAUGUGAUUAACUAUCAGUUAUCAUCCAAUAAAAACUUACCCUUCAAAAUAAAUAAAAAAUCAUAAAUAGCAAUUCACAAGUGGACAACGGGAUCCAACAAAUAGAUUGUACUAUUAUAGAAUAAGUAAUAAAGAUUGACAAUAAAGUUUCCUCUCUAUCUUAUUUGACUAUUUUUCGUGGGUUAAAGGAUGAAAAUGAGAGAACUGAUAAAAAGGGAUUUAGUAUUAGCUUUUCACUCUCCAUUUUAAUCAUUUGAAUUUUGGGCUACUUAUUUUCUUUUUAGGUUGGUAAUUGAUUAAUGAAGCUAAUUAGACAUUUGAUAUUGUGACUAGUAAAAUAGAUAGUUUAUAAUAUUUUUGAAAGCAAGAUAGUUUAGAAUUAUAAUUUUUUUUUUCAAUAUAUGUUAAAUUAAACAUUUAUUUUCAAUGAUCUAUUAAAUUAAACAAAUAUUAACAUAAAAUAAAAUUUUUUUACUCUUUCUUCGUAAAUAUUGUGCCUUUAACUUAAUAUAAUAAUAACAAUUUUAAAUCUUAAAAUUAAUAAAAUAAUAUGUACCAUUAUAAAUAUGUACUUCUACAUAUAUAUAGACUUAUAAAAAUAAAAUAAAAAAAUGGUGCCCCUACAAUGUUCAGGCCCUAUGAGGUCGCUCAACUCGCACGCCCUCAGAGCCGCCUCUGGAUAUAGGAGAACAAUCAAAGAAACACAUCAUAUAUUCACCCAAAAAUUAGCUGUACCAUCUAGUAAAUAAACAAAGCAGUAAUUAUUAUGCAGGCAUUCAGAUUUAUUGAAGACAGGCUAUGUUUGAUCUACUACAAACAAAUCUAAAAAACUAUAUAUCU
rnacentral:lncRNA from 1 species